rnacentral:rRNA from 1 species
AACGAACGCUGGCGGCAUGCCUAACACAUGCAAGUCGAACGAGACCUUCGGGUCUAGUGGCGCACGGGUGCGUAACGCGUGGGAAUCUGCCCUUGGGUUCGGAAUAACAGUGAGAAAUUACUGCUAAUACCGGAUGAUGUCUUCGGACCAAAGAUUUAUUGCCCAAGGAUGAGCCUGCGUAGGAUUAGCUAGUUGGUGGGGUAAUGGCCUACCAAGGCGACGAUCCUUAGCUGGUCUGAGAGGAUGAUCAGCCACACUGGGACUGAGACACGGCCCAGCCUCCUACGGGAGGCAGCAGUGGGGAAUAUUGGACAAUGGGCGAAAGCCUGAUCCAGCAAUGCCGCGUGAGUGAUGAAGGCCUUAGGGUUGUAAAGCUCUUUUACCCGGGAUGAUAAUGACAGUACCGGGAGAAUAAGCUCCGGCUAACUCCGUGCCAGCCGCCGCGGUAA